GCCCGAUUAGCUCAGCUGGUUAGAGCGUCGUACUAAUACCGGGAAACCCGUAUAAGGUAUGCCGAAGGUCAACAGUUCAAUCCUGUUAUUGGGCA